rnacentral:sRNA from 1 species
AUUUUACAUGACAGACUGAUGUUCUGUGUUUAGGUAGCCAGAUGCCUAAUGAUGGUAUAUAAACAUUCUGAGAUAUGAAAAUUAAAUAGAUUCUUUGGUGUCACUUUCUUCGUCCAUGAUACAAAUUCCAUGAGAAAUUCUCUGCCACUUCCAUCAGUGUAAUUUUAAAAGUUGUACGUAAACUGUGUACUGUAUAAACGUAUAACUAUAGGCCCUAUCAUACUGUGAUGUAUUAUUUAUUGAUUUUAGUUCAAGUUGAGUUGAUUUUGUAUUUCAGUCUUUGAUUUGUUCUCUCAGCUACCAUUGACACUUUUGUCUGUUUCUUACUUUGAACAGAUCAAAAUAUAAAUGUAAUUUGUAUAUUUGACAUUGUGUACUUGUCAGAGACUGUAUUUUACAUGAAAUAUUUUUCAAAGUUCAUAAUUAUGUAUAUAUCUAUAAAUCAUUCAAUAUACCUAUGUCUUCUAAAAUUGGUAACAUAUAUAUGCCAAUAAUUUUGAAGUCUAUGUCUUUGUAUGCUAUUAGCAGUCAGCCUCUCUGGUUUACUGCUGGUGAUAUUAUCUGUCUUUGUGUUGCUUUUUCUGUGUUCAACCAAGCUGUCAAUCUUUGUAGCUAUCAAGCCCCCCCCCCCCCCCAAAUUUACACACACAGACAUACUUGCAUUUAACCCUCUCCCGUCCCCCUCCACACACACACACACACACACCUGCAUCCAACACCUGCACAGCAAACCUUAAACACCCAGACUACAUUAAGAGAGAUCAUCAGGUGUGUAGUCCAAGGUCAUUAGUUAUUUUGUACACAACACUAGUACCAGAAUCUACUUCCAUUUUUUACAACAGAAUUUAUAGGGUAAAGUUACAUAGUUAGCAGUGGAUUCGAGCACAUAACAUUAUCAUCAUGAUUAUGUAUAAAUACACCAUCAUUUGACCUUUUAAAACCCAGUAUAAUUAAAAAAUGAACUCAAUGUCUACCCAAGUUAUACGAGUAUAACCUUGGUUGGGGCAAUUUACGCUUUAUAAUCCGCUUCGCAGAUUAUAAAAAAGCAUAAAUUGCUCCAACCCAGGUUAUACGAGUACAUGUAAAACUUAAGUAGGUAUUGAGUUUAUUCUUUUUAAUUUAAUUUUCUGUAAUUUGCUGUACAUGCAAAUUGAGUCCGUUUUACUUUUAAAAAUGAUAUUAAUCUGUUUAAAAUUCAAACGUAACGUCAAGCGGAUUAGUACGUUUUCGACUUUGGUGCAUUGUGACGUGUGUUGUGACGUGCAAACCAGGUUAUACAAAUUUAACUAAAUUUUUCUAUUAAAUCAAAUGCUGCGUUACAACCAGAAUUAAAUUAUUUACAUGUAGUUCAAUUUGUUUUACUUCAUUACAAAGACAUUGUAGAGUAUCAUGCCUGUGAAUGUGUAUUUGUUUUGUUAGUCUGUAGGUGUUGGUAAUGACAUAUGCAGUUUUACCACCUGUGUGUGAAUUUUUACCUGCGUAUUUCUGUCUGCCUGGUUAGGGUGUUACUAUUACUGUCGACUGUGUACAAACAAAUGCAAUGGUUCUGUCCUGUUGACUCUAUGUUUAUUGUAUUCUUUGAUCUGUUCAGGAUAUGUUCUUUAUCUAGGUCUUUGUUUUAUUUCUCUACAAAAUGUUACCUUUCCCAUGUAGACAUAAUGAGAACGCUAGUACCAAUAUUCUGAUUUAUAAAAUAAAUCAAUAAAUCACAAAACUC